rnacentral:rRNA from 1 species
CUCUUUCGGCCGGGAAGAAAUCGCAUGGGUGAAUACCCUGUGUGGAUGACGGUACCGGAACAAGAAGCACCGGCUAACUACGUGCCAGCAGCGCGGUAAUACGUAGGGUGCGAGCGUUAAUCGGAAUUACUGGGCGUAAAGCGUGCGCAGGCGGUUUGGUAAGACAGGCGUGAAAUCCCCGGGCUUAACCUGGGAACUGCGCUUGUGACUGCCAGGCUAGAGUACGGCAGAGGGGGGUGGAAUUCCACGUGUAGCAGUGAAAUGCGUAGAGAUGUGGAGGAACACCAAUGGCGAAGGCAGCCCCCUGGGUCGAUACUGACGCUCAUGCACGAAAGCGUGGGUAGCAAACAGGAUUAGAUACCCUGGUAGUCCACGCCCUAAACGAUGUCAACUAGGUGUUGGGUGGGUAAAACCAUUUAGUACCGUAGCUAACGCGUGAAGUUGACCGCCUGGGGAGUACGGCCGCAAGGUUAAAAACUCAAAAGGAAUUGACGGGGAC